rnacentral:rRNA from 1 species
CUACGGGUUGCUCCAGUGAGGAAUAUUGCACAAUGGGGGGAACCCUGAUGCAGCAACGCCGCGUGGAGGAUGACGCAUUUCGGUGUGUAAACUCCUUUUAUAUGUCAAGAAAAUGACGGUAGCAUAUGAAUAAGCACCGGCUAACUCCGUGCCAGCAGCCGCGGUAAUACGGAGGGUGCAAGCGUUACUCGGAAUCACUGGGCGUAAAGGACGCGUAGGCGGGUUGGAAAGUCAGGUGUGAAAUCCUACAGCUUAACUGUAGAACUGCACUUGAAACUUCUAAUCUAGAGUAUGGGAGGGGGAGAUGGAAUUAGUGGUGUAGGGGUAAAAUCCGUAGAUAUCACUAGGAAUACCUAAAGCGAAGGCGAUCUCCUGGAACAUUACUGACGCUAAGGCGUGAAAGCGUGGGGAGCAAACAGGAUUAGAUACCCUAGUUAGUC